ACUUUUUUCAGGUGUGGAUGCCUUAGCUCAAACGUUGAUGAAGGGUGUAGUGAAAUGCGAAAUGCAAUGUGACAUGCAAAACCCCGUGAACCAAUUGGUUGUUGAAUGUUGCCUUUGCUUUCAAGUACUUCCUGGAAGCAUGUCCUCUUCAUUGAUGU
rnacentral:rRNA from 1 species